rnacentral:lncRNA from 1 species
GAACAGCCCUCCAGUCCUGUCCUGUCCAGCCUCAAAUCCUCAUCUUCUCCAGAGGAAAAGUCUGACUGACUCCAGAGGAAAUUGAGCCUGGGAAUUCGACAGAGCAACCCUGUCAGGACUGAAAAAUGAGCCCAUCUCAAGGCGUCCUGGCUGCGUGGAGCACACUCAGAGCUCCACCGGGCGAUUUUGAACGUCGCUCUCUGUGGCUGCUCCGUGUUUGCUUUGCUCUUGACCUCACCACUCGUAUCUUGCUGCUGUUGCAAAACCCAUUCGUGGGCUGGAGCCCAGAAAAAUGGAAACUGCGCUGCCUUCAAGAUUCUCGCCUUUCUGAAAAAGCCCUUCCUGCUUCCUGUUUGCCCUCUCGGCGGUGUUUCCAAAACAAAAUUUCCACUGCCUUUGGAAAACAAGGAGCCACGCUGAGCAGGAAUGCAGGCUGCAGCUCAGUGGCACAGCCAGGGCAACCCCACAGAGGGAUGCGCUUCUGAAAAAAGCCUGGAGGCUGAGAUUUUAUUUCUACCCAUGGAAAAAAAAAAGAGGUUUCAGGCUUGUGGUGUCUUCUGGGUGCAGGAGUCAGUUAUGACCAUUUCCCUUUCAACCGAGGUGUUUUAUGCAGAACAAAGAGGAUCAUUUCCCCUCCCCCUGGAGCUGGGGGUGCUGAUGUGUGGGGUUCCCUGGGUUUCUGAACACCUUUUGUCUCAUCACCAGAUAUUCUCAUUUUUGAGCAUCUCCCGAGGCCAAAGGGAACCCCCCAGGUCAUUCCUGGCCCUGGAGAUCCCACCUGGCAGAUCCAGACUCAUUCCCACCCCCUGAGCUCAGGUGAGCCUUUCCUGGAGCACCCCACACCCUACCCAGGUACCCGCUGUGUGCAUUAAUAUUGGCUGAAAAGCAAAACAGAGACUCAACCCAUGUUUAUUUUGAAAUAAUCCCUGGAAACAGACCAUGAUAGCAACUCCAGGAACUCCUUUCCUUUCCUUUUGGCAGUUGCAGCUCUUCUUGAAAUAAACAGGUAACUUACAGGCCUCGGGGGGAUCUU